CUUUUUUAGGCAACAGAUUUACUAAAAUUGAAAUGAUACAGAGAAGACUAGCAUGUCUCCUGUGCAAGGAUGAAGUGCUAAUUUGUGAAGGGUGUCAUAGUUAA